CCCCCCCCGGCCCUAGGAGGUCAACCGCUACAAGGGCAAGAACUACCCCAUCAUGAACCUGCACGAGCGGACCCUGAGCGUGCUGGCCUGCCGGGUGAGUGGCCUGGAGCCCUGGCUGCCCCGGGACGUGGGCUGCCUGGCGGGAGGGGCCCGGGCUAGCCGCUUGCCCGCUGUCCCCACAGUACGUGUCGGAGGUGGUGAUCGGGGCCCCGUACGCGGUGACGGCAGAGCUCCUGGACCACUUCAAGGUGGACCUGGUGUGUCACGGGAAGACGGAGAUCGUGCCCGACAAGGACGGCUCCGACCCCUACCAGGUGGGCCUGGGCCGGCCCUCGGGGCCCGGCGUGCACGGGGCAGCCUCGCGGGUGGCGAGGGCACGACCACCCACACGUGCGAGGAGCUGCUGGCGCCGGCGGGCGGGGUGUGGCGGCCCCCGGGCGCCGGCCGGGCCUCAGCUCCUCCCCUCCGGCCGCCAGGAGCCCAAGAGGAGGGGCAUCUUCUGCCACACGGACAGCGGCAGUGACCUCACCACCGACCUCAUCGUCCAGAGGAUCAUCCGGAACAGGCUCGCGUACGAGGCCCGGAACCAGAAGAAGGAGGCCAAGGAGCUAGCCUUCCUGGAGGCCACGCGGAGGCUGGGCAGUGGCCCGCAAGCGGGAGCUGACUGACCGCUGCCCGGCAGGGGCGAGCGCCUCGGGCAGGGCCAGCGUGUGGGGACACGGGAAGCCCCGCGUGGGAGGCUGCCCCCCUUUCCUGCAGGCUGCACGGGGGCGCCCGCAGGAGCGCGGCCCAGAAGCACCGGCACGGGGUGCCUGCAGCCUCAACAGGGCGGCCGGGCCAGCUCCCCGCUGCUCCCAGGACACCCCCCUGCAGGGGCGGGGUGGGAGGAGCCUUCAGCCUGAACGUGGCGCGGAACAGCCGUGCAGGUGCUGCGCCCCCACUCGGCAUCCAGGAGCCAUGCCGCCCACCGGCCUGGCUGUGCUCUCCAGGACCUUCUCUUCUCUGGGUUGUAUCUCCCCUGCCUGAGAGCACUCUC
rnacentral:lncRNA from 1 species